rnacentral:lncRNA from 1 species
AAAAAAAAAAAAAAAACAAAAAAAAAAAAAAAAAAAAAAAAAAAAAAAAAAAAAAAACAUAGAAAUUGCCAUUAUUUUAUCACUAAAGCAAAAUUUGAAUGGUCUUGGUGAUAUUUGAAACUCGCCAGGGGUAGAUUCUUCACGAGGAGAAUAGCGAGACUGUAUAUUACCAAAUUGGUAAAUUUCAGAGAACUUAGGGUUUCCGGCCAACCUUUGAUUUAAUAUUCGAGACAUUCAACUGAUAUUUGAGGGAAAAUGAUUCUGGAUCUGGGUUGAGGGAGUUGAGGAAAUUCAGUGGUGUAAAUUUGGUCGGAUUUGGACAACGUUGUGUCUUGGCCAGAAUAUUUCGAUUCAAGAUUCGAGGGCCUAGGGAGGGAUUCGAGAAAAACUAAGUUGGGGGUUGGAAAGAGGAGAGAGAGAGGGUUCUAGGGUAUUAUUUUGGUAUGGUUUGG